rnacentral:rRNA from 1 species
UACGUAGGGUGCGAGCGUUGUCCGGAAUUAUUGGGCGUAAAGGGCUCGUAGGCGGUUUGUCGCGUCGGGAGUGAAAACACCGGGCUUAACUCGGUGCUUGCUUUCGAUACGGGCAGACUAGAGGCAUGCAGGGGAGAACGGAAUUCCUGGUGUAGCGGUGAAAUGCGCAGAUAUCUGGAGGAACACCGGUGGCGAAGGCGGCAUCCUGGACCGACACUGACGCUGAGGAGCGAAAGCCAGGGGAGCAAACGGG